UACGGGGGGGGCAAGCGUUGUUCGGAAUUACUGGGCGUAAAGGGCUCGUAGGUGGCCAACUAAGUCAGACGUGAAAUCCCUCGGCUUAACCGGGGAACUGCGUCUGAUACUGGAUGGCUUGAGUUUGGGAGAGGGAUGCGGAAUUCCAGGUGUAGCGGUGAAAUGCGUAGAUAUCUGGAGGAACACCGGUGGCGAAGGCGGCUAUCUGGCCAUGUACUGACGCUGAGACACGAAAGCGUGGGGAGCAAACAGG
rnacentral:rRNA from 1 species